AUUUAAGCUUUCUAGGGUUCCGCAGUUUAUAACUGGCAGGUCCGAGAGAAAGGCACACAGUUGACUGUGUACACGGAAGGAUAAAAGCCUGGGAGAU
rnacentral:sRNA from 2 species